UGGGGAAUAUUGGACAAUGGGCGCAAGCCUGAUCCAGCCAUGCCGCGUGAGUGAAGAAGACCUUCGGGUUGUAAAGCUCUUUUACCAGGGACGAUAAUGACGGUACCUGGAGAAUAAGCCCCGGCAAACUUCGUGCCAGCAGCCGCGGUAAUACGAAGGGGGCUAGCGUUGUUCGGAAUUACUGGGCGUAAAGCGCACGUAGGCGGAUUGUUAAGUCAGAGGUGAAAUCCCGGAGCUCAACUUCGGAACUGCCUUUGAUACUGGCAAUCUAGAGUCCGGAAGAGGUUAGUGGAAUUCCCAGUGUAGAGGUGAAAUUCGUAGAUAUUGGGAAGAACACCAGUGGCGAAGGCGGCUAACUGGUCCGGUACUGACGCUGAGGUGCGAAAGCGUGGGGAGCAAACAGGAUUAGAUACCCUCGUAGUCCCUGAGCGGGCUGGCAAGGCGCAU
rnacentral:rRNA from 1 species